rnacentral:rRNA from 1 species
GAUGAACGCUGGCGGCGUGCCUAAUACAUGCAAGUCGAGCGAACGGACGAGAAGCUUGCUUCUCUGAUGUUAGCGGCGGACGGGUGAGUAACACGUGGAUAACCUACCUAUAAGACUGGGAUAACUUCGGGAAACCGGAGCUAAUACCGGAUAAUAUUUUGAACCGCAUGGUUCAAAAGUGAAAGGCGGUCUAGCUGUCACUUAUAGAUGGAUCCGCGCUGCAUUAGCUAGUUGGUAAGGUAACGGCUUACCAAGGCAACGAUGCAUAGCCGACCUGAGAGGGUGAUCGGCCACACUGGAACUGAGACACGGUCCAGACUCCUACGGGAGGCAGCAGUAGGGAAUCUUCCGCAAUGGGCGAAAGCCUGACGGAGCAACGCCGCGUGAGUGAUGAAGGUCUUCGGAUCGUAAAACUCUGUUAUUAGGGAAGAACAUAUGUGUAAGUAACUGUGCACAUCUUGACGGUACCUAAUCAGAAAGCCACGGCUAACUACGUG